AUACGGAGGAUGCGAGCGUUAUCCGGAUUUAUUGGGUUUAAAGGGAGCGUAGGCGGGAGCUUAAGUCAGCGGUUAAAUGGUGCGGCUCAACCGUGCCCUGCCGUUGAAACUGGGUUUCUUGAGAGUGCAAGAGGCGGAUGGAAUUCAUGGUUUAGCGGUGAAAUGCUUAGAUAUCAUGAAGAACUCCGAUUGCGAAGGCAGUCCGCUGGGGCACGUCUGACGCUGAUGCUCGAAGGUGCGGGAAUCAAACAGGAUUAGAUGCCCUGGUAGUCCGCACGGUAAACGAUGAUUACCCGCUGUCGGCGGUAGACAGUCGGCGGCCAAGCGAAAGCGAUAAGUAAUCCACCUGGGGAGUACGCCGGCAACGGUGAAACUCAAAUGAAUUGACGGGU
rnacentral:rRNA from 1 species